AAAAGCCAAGUUUCUAAAUUGGUAAAGUAUCCAACAGAGAACUCAUUCAAGCUCCAUUCUCGAAAGCUCCGAUGGUCUCUAUCUGUGAAAUCCACGAUCUGAAUGAAGCAUUUCUUUUCGUGCAAGCUCGCAAAAAGCUUUUGGAAGCUCGAAUUUGAUGGGUACUGCUGCUGUAGUUGAUGUGUGUUGCAUCUUCUCGGUGUUCUUGAAUCUGGUGUUUCAUCUAUAAGGUGAAUCAGUUUGACACCUCUGUGGUGCAUCUGCUGAAGUUUGAUUAUCAUCAGGAGGUUUUUUAAGAGUCUAUUCUUCCACUGGGCUGCCACUUGCUUGUUCUCCACCAGUAUCCACUUGAUUUCCAUGUUGCAAAGAGUUCUUUUGAACCGCUGAAUCAUUUUCCACCUGUUGCUGCCUGCUGUAUUGUAUUGGACUUUCUUUGUCCAACAUAUUUCCUUAUUUUUCCUCCAUAUUUCUUUGUGGUUUUCUUUCUAUAUUUGAUGCUGCCCCUUGUUUGUGUUUCCUUGUUGUUCAAUUAUGUUUGCACUGUCACUCUUA